rnacentral:rRNA from 1 species
CGGCGGACGGGUGAGUAACGCGUGGGUAACCUGCCUCAUACAGGGGGAUAACAGUUGGAAACGGCUGCUAAUACCGCAUAAGCGCACAGUACCGCAUGGUACCGUGUGAAAAACUCCGGUGGUAUGAGAUGGACCCGCGUCUGAUUAGGUAGUUGGUGAGGUAACGGCCCACCAAGCCGACGAUCAGUAGCCGACCUGAGAGGGUGACCGGCCACAUUGGGACUGAGGCACGGCCCAG